rnacentral:rRNA from 1 species
AUACGUAGGGGGCGAGCGUUAUCCGGAAUUAUUGGGCGUAAAGAGUGCGUAGGUGGCCAGUGUAAGCGCGGGGUGAAAGGCAAUAGCUUAACUAUUGUAAGCCUUGCGAACUGUGUGGCUUGAGUGCAGGAGAGGAAAGUGGAAUUCCUAGUGUAGCGGUGAAAUGCGUAGAUAUUAGGAGGAACACCAGUGGCGAAGGCGACUUUCUGGACUGUAACUGACACUGAGGCACGAAAGCGUGGGGAGC